rnacentral:rRNA from 1 species
ACUACGGGUGGCAGCAGUGGGGAAUAUUGGACAAUGGGCGAAAGCCUGAUCCAGCCAUGCCGCGUGUGUGAAGAAGGCCUUCGGGUUGUAAAGCACUUUCAGUGGGGAAGAAAGCCUUGGGGCUAAUACCCUCGAGGAAGGACAUCACCCACAGAAGAAGCACCGGCUAACUCCGUGCCAGCAGCCGCGGUAAUACGGAGGGUGCGAGCGUUAAUCGGAAUUACUGGGCGUAAAGCGCGCGUAGGCGGUCUGAUAAGCCGGUUGUGAAAGCCCCGGGCUCAACCUGGGAACGGCAUCCGGAACUGUCAGGCUAGAGUGCAGGAGAGGAAGGUAGAAUUCCCGGUGUAGCGGUGAAAUGCGUAGAGAUCGGGAGGAAUACCAGUGGCGAAGGCGGCCUUCUGGACUGACACUGACGCUGAGGUGCGAAAGCGUGGGUAGCAAACAGGAUUAGAUACCCCAGUAUC